rnacentral:rRNA from 1 species
AGGACGAACGCUGGCGGCGUGCUUAACACAUGCAAGUCGAACGGGAUCCAAGCGUUAGCAAUAACGUGGAAGAUCUAGUGGCGAACGGGUGAGUAACACGUGAGGAACCUACCCCGGACUCAGGGAUAACGGCUGGAAACGGCUGCUAAUACCUGAUGCCGUCGGAGCAUCACAUGGUGCACUGACGAAAGAAUCUCGGUUCGGGAGGGUCUCGCGGCCUAUCAGCUAGUUGGUGGGGUAACGGCCUACCAAGGCAUCGACGGGUAGCUGGUCUGAGAGGAUGAUCAGCCACACUGGGACUGAGACACGGCCCAGACUCCUACGGGAGGCAGCAGUGGGGAAUCUUGCGCAAUGGGCGAAAGCCUGACGCAGCAACGCCGCGUGCGGGAAGAAGGCCCUAGGGUUGUAAACCGCUUUCAGUAGGAACGAAAUGACGGUACCUGCAGAAGAAGGUGCGGCCAACUACGUGCCAGCAGCCGCGGU